GAUGAACGCUGGCGGCGUGCCUAAUACAUGCAAGUCGAACGAAACUUCUUUAUCACCGAGUGCUUGCACUCACCGAUAAAGAGUUGAGUGGCGAACGGGUGAGUAACACGUGGGCAACCUGCCUAAAAGAGGGGGAUAACACUUGGAAACAGGUGCUAAUACCGCAUAACCAUAGUUACCGCAUGGUAACUAUGUAAAAGGUGGCUAUACUACCGCUUUUGGAUGGGCCCGCGGCGCAUUAGCUAGUUGGUAGGGUAAAGGCUUACCAAGGCAAUGAUGCGUAGCCGAAUUGAGAGGUUGAUCGGCCACAUUGGGACUGAGACACGGCCCAAACUCCUACGGGAGGCAGCAGUAGGGAAUCUUCCACAAUGGGCGAAAGCCUGAUGGAGCAACGCCGCGUGGGUGAAGAAGGUCUUCGGAUCGUAAAACCCUGUUGUUAGAGAAGAAAGUGCGUGAGAGUAACUGUUCACGUUUCGACGGUAUCUAACCAGAAAGCCACGGCUAACUACGUG
rnacentral:rRNA from 1 species